AGGAAUUUGUUAUUGAAUGAUAACAAUCUUACCGGAUCUAUACCGGAAAGCUUGGCAGCGUUGCCUAUGCUUCAAACUCUUGAUGUUUCUAAUAACAAUUUAUCUGGUCCUGUACCUGCAUUUCGAUCAAAUGUGAAGUUUAUUAAUGGUGGUAACGUGUUUCUUGGAAAGAAUAUUAGUGAUGGAGGGGGUAGUGGUGGAUCACCGGGGUCUGGGUCGAGUAGUGAUGGUGGAAAUUCAUCUGGUGGCUCGAAGGGAUCCUCAGUUCAACUUGGAGUGGUUGCUGGUGUGGUUAUAUCUGUCUUUAUAUUUAUCCUUGUUGUUUUGUAUGUGUCCUACAAAUGUUACAUAAGGAGACGACAUAAGAGAUUUGGGAGGGUUCAGAAUCCGGAAAGGAGCAAUGAUAUGGUUAAGCCUGGUUUAGUGAUAGGUAAUGGAUAUGCAGGAGUCCCUAGUGAAUUACAGAGCCAGAGCAGUGGGGAUCAUACUGAGAUGCCGAUAUUUGAAGGUGGAAAUGUUGUCAUUUCCAUUCAGGUGCUUCGACAAGUGACAAACAACUUCAGCGAAGAAAAUAUCUUGGGUAGAGGAGGAUUUGGAGUCGUUUAUAAGGGUGAAUUACAUGAUGGGACUAAGAUUGCUGUGAAGAGGAUGGAAUCUGGAGCGAUGGGUACUAAAGGAAUGAAUGAGUUCCAAGCUGAAAUCGCGGUCCUUACCAAAGUUAGGCAUAGGCAUCUGGUCGCUCUUCUUGGUUUCUGUGUUAACGGCAACGAAAGACUCUUGGUGUAUGAGUACAUGCCACAAGGAACUUUAAGUCAGCAUCUGUUUGAAUGGCAAGAACACGGGUGCCCAACUUUGACCUGGAAGCAAAGGGUCACAAUAGCAUUAGAUGUUGCAAGGGGAGUCGAAUAUCUCCACAGCUUGGCUCAGACAAGUUUUAUCCAUAGGGAUUUGAAGCCCUCUAACAUACUUCUUGGGGAUGAUAUGAGAGCCAAGGUUGCAGAUUUUGGAUUGGUUAAGAAUGCCCCAGAUGGGAAAUAUUCUGUUGAGACACGGUUGGCUGGAACUUUUGGCUAUUUGGCGCCUGAAUAUGCUGCUACUGGACGAGUCACGACCAAAGUAGAUGUGUAUGCAUUUGGAGUUGUUCUAAUGGAGAUCAUCACUGGUAGAAAAGCAUUAGAUGAGACCUUGCCAGACGAGAGGUCUCAUUUGGUCACCUGGCUUCGCAGGGUCCUUGUCAACAAAGACAACCUCCGAAAGGCUAUUGACCCAACUCUUGAUCCUGACGAGGAAACAUAUGAGAGCAUUUGUAAGGUUGCCGAGUUAGCAGGCCAUUGCACUGCACGAGAACCAUUCCAACGCCCUGACAUGGGACAUGCAGUCAAUGUCCUUGCCCCCCUCGUAGAACUGUGGAAGCCUACAAGAAAUGAAGACGAGGACAGUGGCAUCGACCUUCAAAUGAGCCUUCCUCAAAUCCUUCAAAGAUGGCAAGCUGAUGAAGGAACUUCAAGAAUGUUCGAUGACAUCUCCUUCAGUCAAACACAUUCAAGUAUACCCUCGAAACCUUCCGGAUUUGCAGAUACUUUCAAUUCAACAGAUUGCAGAUGACAUUAGGGCAACAAUCAAGGAAGGUACACAAUCCAUUCGGUCAAUUGGUUUCGUCUUAACAACGCAUUUUACUUCGUCUUUUCAUAACCCUUUUGGUGAUAGAUCAUUAGAGACCAAAGAAGCCAAGAUGGCUAGAAGAGUUUAUUUGUGGUUUGGU
rnacentral:misc_RNA from 1 species